rnacentral:rRNA from 1 species
UAUGCUUAGCCUUAAACUUAGAUGUACACCCACACAUGCAUCCGCCAGGGAACUACGAGCGCAGCUUGAAACCCAAAGGACUUGGCGGUGCCUCAUACCCAUCUAGAGGAGCCUGUUCUAGAACCGAUAAUCCACGUUGAACCUCACCACUUCUUGUUUUUUUCCCGCCUAUAUACCACCGUCGCCAGCUUACCCUGUGAAGGUCUAAUAGUAAGCAAAACGGGUUCACCCAAAAACGUCAGGUCGAGGUGUAGCGUAUGAAGUGGGAAGAAAUGGGCUACAUUUUCUACAACAGAAUAAACGGACGGUACUUUGAAAUAAGCACCCGAAGGUGGAUUUAGUAGUAAAAAAUAACAGAAAAUCUUUUUGAAUCUGGCUCUGAGACGC